rnacentral:rRNA from 1 species
UACGUAGGGUGCGAGCGUUGUCCGGAAUUAUUGGGCGUAAAGAGUUUGUAGGCGGUUUGUCGCGUCUGCUGUGAAAAUCCGGGGCUCAACCCCGGACUUGCAGUGGGUACGGGCAGACUGGAGUGCGGUAGGGGAGAUUGGAAUUCCUGGUGUAGCGGUGGAAUGCGCAGAUAUCAGGAGGAACACCGAUGGCGAAGGCAGAUCUCUGGGCCGUAACUGACGCUGAGGAGCGAAAGCAUGGGGAGCGAACAGG